AUGCCUUCCCUUUCACUGACCUUUACUCUGAAUCUGAUUCUGAUACUCACUGUACACCUGACCUUCCCAGUGAUCCUCACAAUUACCUCAAUUACCUCACAUGACCUUGACCUUAACCUAGAACUUUACUAUCACAUUCAUCCUAACCUUGUACUUGGCCUUAAAACUGACCUGACCAUCACCUUGACCCCGAUCUUAUUUCUCACCAUUUUCCUGACAAUGACCACCACAUACACCCUCAACUUCAUUCUUACCCUUACUAUGUCCCUGAUUCUGCAUUUGACCCUGAACUUCAAUCUCAGCUUGAUCUUUUACUUAUCCUACUCCUUUUCCUUGACCUUCCUCUUAAUCUUGGCCCUCACUUUUGCCCAGUUGCUAAUCCUGAAGCUGAAACUGGCCCUCAUCCUUAUCCUGACACUAACACUCUUGCUUUUACAAUGGCACAUUUUGACACUGACCCUUACCUUGACUCUCCCUUCAUUCUGACCUUCACACUCACUUUGACCUCAGCUUCUCCCUGACUAUGAUUCUUACUUUGAUCAUCAUCUGAACCUGAUCAUCACCCUGAUCUUGACCCUCACCCUGAGCUGACUUGACACUGACUCUCAACAUGACCCUUACCCUUAUCAUGAUUUGACCUUCACCCUGACCAUGAUGCUGCAUCAGACCCUCACACUGACCCUCAACUUUACCUUCUCCAUGACCCUCAUGUUCAAUCUGAUUCUGACCCUGACAUUGCGUUGAUACUGUCUCUGACCUCUUCACCCCUUGUACCUUACUUGACUGACAUACAACCCAACCCUGACUCUUACCAAUACACAGAUCUUGACACCAAUGCUGACCCUCACCUUGGACCUGAACUUUACCCAACCUUGACUCUGAUCAUGACUCUGUCUGACCGUGACUCUGAUGAUACCUUGACUCUUAUCUCACAUUGAUACUGAAUGACCCUGACCCUCACCUUGAUUCUCUCCUAAACAUUGACUCCACAUUUCACCUUGUCCUUGAUCUUAACACUCACCUUGUUCCUGAAACUGACAGUAAUCCUCACCCAUAAUUUGACCCUUACUUGGCCCUCACUCUGACCCUGAUUCUUACAGUGACACUAAAAGUAAACUUGAUUCUUGGGGUGCCUGGGUGGCUCAGUCAUUUAAGCGUCUGACUCUUGGUUUCGGCUCAGGUCAUGAUCUCAG
rnacentral:lncRNA from 1 species